AAAUCUUAGUCACCUGCACAGUGGUACUGCAGGACACAAUGUCCCGCGAGGAGUUCCUGCACGCCCUCAGGGAUAAAGUGCCGUACAUGCCAGAGGCCUUCGACCUCUGCAGGCUCAUUGGCCGUAGAUUCAUCGUUCUGGUCGAUGUCUGCCCGAGAGACCUUCGGGGACGUGGCAUGAUGGGCCGGUCCAAUCUGUACAUCCGACCAAAGGUACCUCUGCCACCUGCUGGCCAACCCCAACCUGCCGGCCCAGAAACCCUGCACACCCUGCCCGGCCCUUCUCUACCUCCCAGCACUUCUCCACCUCCCAGCCGUUCUCCACCUCCCAGCCGUUCUCCACCUCCCAGCCGUUCUCCACCUGACAGCAUUUCUCCACCUCCCAGCCGUUCUCCACCUCCCAGCCGUUCUCCACCUCCCAGCCGUUCUCCACCUGACAGCCCUUCUCCACCUCCCAGCCGUUCUCCACCUGACAGCCCUUCUCCACCUCCCAGCCGUUCUCCACCUUCCAGCCCUUCUCCACCUCCCAGCCCAAUCCCAUCUGCCAAUAGUCUACCUCUGGAUGUGAAGGACAUCCUUCUGCCACUGCAGGACCUGGUCUUGAGGAUGGGUCAGGGAAGCCGGGUGAACUGCUUAAGAGGGGAGGAGUUUCAAUGUGCAGCUAGGGCCUUCAACAGGUCGAGUUUUGACCCCUACGCAAAGUUGGAUGUGGUGUUUGUGGAUGGCGAUGGGGUGGCAGAAGGCGCAGUGGAUGAGGGGGGACCGACCAGAGAGUUCUGUACCCUCCUCAUCCACCAAAUACAGAAUCAUUUAGUAUUCGAAGGUCCUGAGGGCAACAAAACCCUGGCCCUGAACAGUGUUGGUAAGCUUUGA
ensembl:lncRNA